rnacentral:rRNA from 1 species
CCAGACUCCUACGGGAGGCAGCAGUGAGGAAUAUUGGUCAAUGGGCGGGAGCCUGAACCAGCCAAGCCGCGUGAGGGAAGAAGGUACAGCGUAUCGUAAACCUCUUUUGUCAGGGAACAAAGGCGGGGACUAGUCCCCGGAUGAGGGUACCUGAAGAAAAAGCAUCGGCUAACUCCGUGCCAGCAGCCGCGGUAAUACGGAGGAUGCGAGCGUUAUCCGGAUUUAUUGGGUUUAAAGGGUGCGUAGGCGGAUUUUUAAGUCAGCGGUAAAAUGUCCGGGCUCAACCCGGGCCGGCCGUUGAAACUGGGGAUCUUGAGUGGGCGAGAAGUAUGCGGAAUGCGUGGUGUAGCGGUGAAAUGCGUAGAUAUACGGAGGAACACCAGUGGCGAAGGCGGAUUGCUGGACAGUAACUGACGCUGAGGCGCGAAAGCGUGGGGAGCAAACAGGAUUAGAUACCCCAGUA